GAGAAAUACGGCCGCGCGCGCCAUUCGACGCACCAUCCUUCUCCUCCACUGUCUUGGCGAUUAUUCUUACCAUUCGUGGAAAAUAUUCUUCUUCUCUUCCUUCCUCUUCUUUCUCCUCCUCCUCCUCCUCCUCCUCCUCCUCUUCUUCUUAUUCGCUUUCAAAGAAGAAGUGUUUUCGAUGAACUACUCGGUCGGUAAAGUUUAAAGAGGAUGGGAUUACGUAGGCGGAUACUACGUAGCGGGAGGGGGGGGGGGCACUUUGGAGGGUAUUCGGACAGGGAUGCUAGUCGGGACGUUGUUUCGCUAUUUGAUUCAUAUUUUCGUUUCUUUAUCCGACGUAUAAACGACAGAUCCUGAAAUAGGGGCGGAAUAUAAAUCACGAAUGACGUGAAUACUUAAUAGACCGUGUUCCGAAUUUAUACGCAAACAGCUUAAACCGUCCGAUUUACAUCGUCGCGUAGAUUUGUACCACGGUGUAUGCAAACUCCGCGCUCUCUCGCCCACGGUAUUAUUUUGGGAUUUGACUAAUCCCGUGAGAGGGCAUGGACCAGCGCGUGUGAUGAUCAGCGUCUCGUUUUUCGCCCCACGUUCGAUUCACCGCCACGGCCAAGUGUCAAGCUCGUCUUCGCUCGAUAAACGAUGCCGUCCCAAAUAAACUUGUGGGCUUGGCCAUUUUCACUUGUGCUCCGAUAAGCAUCCAUGGAUUUUAAUGGAAAAAAAUGUUGGAAGAAUCUUCCUCUCCUUUGAUUGGAUACAGGAUUGCCAGCUAUUAUCUUCUCGGUUUGACUCAUCGCUACCUGAGAUAACGCCGAUCAUAGGUCGCAGAUAACAUGGAUGCUCGCACCAUAGAAGCAAUUCUAGGAAUUAGUGGGGAUAACUGGCCGACAGUUAGCGAAAUGCUAUUGUAACAAGUCACUGCGAGGCGCACAUCUGUAUCACCGUUUCAUUGGACCUUCGAUGAAGUUAACUACGAUAGCUGUAAUACGUGCUCGAACAAAUAGCAGAUCUAUAAUACAAAGUUAAUAAGGAUGAUAUCUUUGGAUACUAAGAAAACUAUAAAAAAGAAAGGUUAACAUCGCAAAAGAAUUGCGAUUGCAAUUGGUAAUGACAAUAAUUAUAGAGAUAAGUAUUUCAGAUAAAUAUAAUUAAAUAUAUACUUAAGCAAAAAUUUUUGUCCCAAAAAUAAAAUAAAAAUUAUAUGCAAUUUUCUAUUAUAUUUCCCUCAUACAUAUUUCCCUAAUAUAAUUUCUAAAAUUGUAAAAUAUGGACAAAAAUUUUUGCUUUUAUGAAUUGUUUGAAAAAUUCACGUGUCACUUCCUGUCCACUUAUACUAUUUUGAUAUAAAUUCGAAAAAUUGGAAAAAUAUAGCAAAUACAGAAAAUAUUAGAGAAAUGGAAGUAAAAUGGAGGAAAUAAUAGAAUCAAAAAUCAUUUUACAAUAUAAUGGAUAAUCUGCAAUCAAAGGAUCAUGUAAAAAGAGAAAAAAAUAUACGAAAGAGAAGAUAUAUCAGUGACUGUGUGAGCGUAAUACGAGUAUCGUGGAUAUCAACCAUAGACGAGGUAUAAUAUAUAUAUAUACAUAUCUCCCAUGGAAUAAAGAACCUAUCAAUCCUGUUGUAUCAUAUCUUUCAUAUACUUUUUAUAUACAAUUUAUAUAUUGGAUUUAAUUAUUUCUUAAAGUAUUAAUUUCUUACUUUACGUGAUCACAAAAAUAGCAGUAAAAAGAAAUUUCAAGAAUUUGAUGUCAUUUCCAAAAAAUUGGCAAAAUU